rnacentral:misc_RNA from 1 species
ACCUCCCUUCAAAAAAAAGAAAAAGAAAGAAGAAGAAGGAAGAUAGGAGAGAGAAAAGAAGAAGAAGGUAAGCAUGGCAUUUAGAGCUUUUAUUUCUAACCAUGUGAGAAUGAACUAUUGAAGCAAGUAAAGCUACUUCAAGAGAUUUCAAGCAUUGAGUAUGUUUGUCUGUUCAUUACUCCAAAUCAAUUAAUGCAUAUUAAGGAUACAGUUUCCUCUUCUGUUAGUGCACCACCACCGAAAAAGUCAAAGUCCUACAAGUAAUUUGGGUAACUUGUCUCUGUCCUCUAAUGGAG